GCCGGUGGCGCAGGGCUUGGAGCUUCGCCGGGCGCCGGGGCUGCGGACUCCAGACUUGGGAGCUUCUGGCGGAGCGAAGGGAGAUGCACGCUGCGGCCGGGCGCCUAGCUGCCUGCACCCAGAGCUCGCAACGACCUCAACCUGAGAAAGACAUUGGCGCCUGACACAUUGGCGCAGCCGCCCCUGGUGUAGACAGGGGACAGAAACCCCCUGCCCAGUUGCAAAGCGCCGUAUCCACACUGGAGGGAAAGGCCCCGAAGUGCCCCAGACGUCUGGCUUCCAGAACAGAAGUUGGGAGGAUGCGCGCUCCAGGGCCAGGGGUGCACGGGGUAUCACCCCGCAGCUCGGUCCUUGGACAAUUCUGGGACCCGCGCGAGGGUUCCCAGACGGAGAACAGAUUCUGAGAGGCUAUCGAAGCUGAGACUGCAGACAAGGCUCCAAGGGCGCAGGCAGCGGAGGGGCGCGCACCGUGGGGGGAAGCGGCCUCUGCGGGCGGGGCUGGCGGCCGCCCUGGAACUGACAGGUUCCAGACCGGAAAGGCGAAGGUGGACAAGGCCGGCUAAGAACUCUGGGAGGCCCCAUCCAGAACAGCACCGUGGAGACCCUCCUGAGAGUCCCCUCAAAAUAAAAAUAACAUUAAAUCCCGGGUAAUAACACUAAAAAUAACAUUAACCUUCACAUAUUUCUCCAUGCGACUCCGUGGUUAUUUUUUAAUUCAAAAGCAAAUUUGCCGGUGUCCCAGCUUUCCUCUGCCUGUGAAAUCCCCCAGGCCUCCUGCCACCCCAGGUCUGGCUGUCAGAGGUCUCCCCCGGCCCAGCAGCCCAGGUGGCACCCGCAAGUGCGGUCUCCCAGCCCAAAUCUGUGUCCUCCACGGGACGUUCUCUGUGUUUCUAAUGCUCC